CCCGCGUCUCAUCCAACCUUCCUUCCUUUCUCUCGCCGGCCUUUUCUUCACCUCCAUUUCUAUUUGGAACCAUAGUAUAAUAAAAAAGAAAAAAAAGGAGAAGAAAGGAACGUGAACGGAUCCCUUCUUCCUUCCUGUAAUCAUAUUGUUUGAAAAACCGAAGAAAAUAGUUUUUUUUUUUUUAUCAAUCUCCGGCUCGGAGGAGAUGGGGAGGAACCGCGUAGAAGUUCCGGCGGCGGUUAUAGCCUACAAAUUGAGAGACGCUUCUAGUUGGUGGCAAGAUAUAAACGAAUCGGUAGUAUGGCAAGAUCGCAUCUUUCACGUUCUGGCCGUUCUUUAUGGCCUUGUAGCCGCCGUUGCUCUUGUUCAACUGGUACGGAUACAAUUGAGAGUUCCAGAGUAUGGUUGGACUACACAGAAGGUUUUCCACUUUCUCAAUUUCUUGGUGAAUGGGGUUCGCUGUCUAGUAUUCAUUUUUCGCCGAAAUGUAGCAAGUAUAAAUCCACCGAUUGUCCAACAUAUCUUGCUUGAUAUGCCGAGUCUUGCUUUCUUCACAACAUAUGCACUUUUGGUUUUGUUCUGGGCAGAGAUAUACUAUCAGGCACGUGCUGUAUCUACUGAUGGACUUAGGCCAAGUUUCUUCACAAUUAAUGCAGUGGUUUAUGCCAUUCAGAUUGCUUUGUGGUUGAUUUUAUGGUGGAAAGAUACCCGAUUGCUGGUCAUUCUUGCUAAGAUGUUCUUUGCAGGGGUGUCUUUGUUUGCAGCUCUCGGUUUUCUACUUUAUGGUGGAAGGCUCUUCUUGAUGUUGCAGCGGUUCCCUGUAGAAUCUAAAGGGAGGCGUAAGAAGUUGCAAGAGGUUGGCUAUGUGACCACCAUAUGUUUCUCAUGCUUCCUAGUCAGAUGCAUUAUGAUGUGCUUCAAUGCAUUUGAUAAAGCUGCAGAUCUUGAUGUUUUGGAUCAUCCAAUUCUAAACUUCAUAUAUUACCUGCUGGUGGAGAUUUUACCAUCUUCCUUGGUUCUUUUCAUAUUGAGGAAAUUGCCUCCAAAACGUGGAAUCACUCAAUAUCAUCCCAUACGUUGAAGGGAUAGAAAUGGCAUAAAAUGUAACAGCAAAUCUUGAGAUUGGAUGUAAUGCUUGCAUUCACUUGGGAGAAUGGAAGAGUCCGGGCUCUAAGGAGAACACCAAGAGCAAGCAAAUAUUUAUUUUUCUUUUCUUUAGAGUUUUAAGCUGAUCUCAUGGAAUCUAAAAUGUCUAUUUGUGGUCUGUAGGAGGUUAUAGUUGUGUUGAAAAGAUAUAGCCACUCAAGGAUUAUGAAAUGUGUUUGACCAUUAGUGUUGUGAUCUUUGUUUUUGUAUGUCUUGCAUCUUAUAGUCCUUUAUGGCUU
rnacentral:misc_RNA from 1 species